AUUGAACGCUGGCGGCAGGCUUAACACAUGCAAGUCGACCGAGUGGCGGACGGGUGAGUAAUGCUUGGGAAUCUGCCCGAUAGAGGGGGAUAACUACUGGAAACGGUGGCUAAUACCGCAUACUAUCGGAUGAACCCAUAUGGGAUUAGCUCGUAGGUGGGGGAACGGCUCACCUAGGCGACGAUCUCUAGCUGGUCUGAGAGGAUGAUCAGCCACACUGGGACUGAGACACGGUCCAGACUCCUACGGGAGGCAGCAGUGGGGAAUAUUGCACAAUGGGCGCAAGCCUGAUGCAGCCAUGCCGCGUGUAGGAAGAAGGCCUUAGGGUUGUAAAGUACUUUCAGCGGGGAGGCGUUACUCGCAGAAGAAGCACCGGCUAACUCCGUGCCAGCAGCCGCGGUAAUAC
rnacentral:rRNA from 1 species